UACGGGGGGGGCAAGCGUUGUUCGGAAUUACUGGGCGUAAAGGGCUCGUAGGCGGCCAACUAAGUCAGACGUGAAAUCCCUCGGCUUAACCGGGGAACUGCAUCUGAUACUGGAUGGCUUGAGAUUGGGAGAGGGAUGCGGAAUUCCAGGUGUAGCGGUGAAAUGCGUAGAUAUCUGGAGGAACACCGGUGGCGAAGGCGGUUCUCUGGGCCUGACCUGACGCUGAGGAGCGAAAGCGUGGGGAGCGAACAGG
rnacentral:rRNA from 1 species